UUACCAUGUGGCCUCAAACGGGCCUCUGUGUUUUUUGUCCCUGCAGUGGACCGGUGAUACCCCCCUGGCAGCAUUCGGCAGAAUAAUGGGGGCGAAGUGCCCAUCACAGAUCCUAACACGGAGCCAGCCAUGGGCUCUCGGUGGUCCUCCUCUCUGGAAGGCUGGGAUGCUGAUCACGGUGCUCCUGGUGGACCCAGACUGACAUUUGCAGCAACCUGAUCUCCAUAGCAACCAGCUGUGACAUCACAAGGCACCUACAGACCCUUUCCCCGCGACAGAGGAAGCGUGACUACUCAUUUAGGGGCAGAAAACGCUCCUGAGGCCCCUCACGUGGUAGGGGAAGUGGGCGUAGAAGGGCGAAGCGGGAGAGGGUCUCUCCCCAGAAAUACCAGGUUUUUCCUCUGAGCUGCCUACCAAGCCUUCUCUGGAGGUGUGAGUGGAGCCUAAACGAAGUCUCCCUCCCCCGCUUGUUCCCGUCUCUCAUCCCUUCAAAAUUACAUCUCAGUGUCUUCAACCGUAAAAUGGGGGUAACAGAAGUCACUCUUCAUUGAGGGAUUAUUAUGUGCCAGGCGCUGUGGGCUUUCUCAUUUGCCUCGUGACAACCCGGUAAAGCGUGUUUUCCUUUUUGAACUCUCCCUUUUGUAAGUGGAGGAAAAUGACACACAGAGAAAGGAUUAGAACCCAGUCUGGCUCGAGAGCGUACCCACAGCCUCCCUGGCACUCAGCGGCACCUCUGUUUCCAGCCGUGCUGGGCCAAACAGUUCGACGCGGGCUUCAACUCACUUCGCGCUGCCGGCAUCUUGCCUCACGCGAGCACAAGGCCUUUUUCUUUUUCUGCCCUGGGGCUUGUGCAGUGCCCGACACGGACUGCCGGCAGGAGCAUGCUCAGCAUGGGGACGUGCCGGGGGCAGUUAGCUUCCACUGGGCCAACAACCUCUCACCCGUGGGACGUGGGAGCCGGUGGAGGGAUGCUUCCGUCAAUCUGUCAUCUGGCUGACAAGCCCAAGGAUCCUUCUGUACACCGUUCAGAGGGGCCUGGAGGCACUGAGUCCCAGUCACCCGCGGCACUGACCUAAAGAUGCUCUGUGAUGUUGGCUUUUUUCAGUUGUGUCGGUCCCCUGUUUCUGCUCCCUGGGAUCACCUCUAAAAUAAACUGCCUGCACACA